rnacentral:rRNA from 1 species
CGGCGGACGGGUGAGUAACACGUGGGUAACCUACCUAUAAGACUGGGACAACUUCGGGAAACCGGAGCUAAUACCGGAUAAGAUAUCGAACCGCAUGGUUCGAUAGUGAAAGAUGGUUUUGCUAUCACUUAUAGAUGGACCCGCGCCGUAUCAGCUAGUUGGUGAGGUAACGGCUCACCAAGGCAACGAUACGUAGCCGACCUGAGAGGGUGAUCGGCCACACUGGAACUGAGACACGGUCCAGACUCCUACGGGAGGCAGCAGCU